rnacentral:lncRNA from 1 species
UGCAUUCUUCACAACACGUUGCAGGGUGAUGGCUUGCUUUCCCUUCAUUGGAGGUGUUUACUCUUGAUCUGCAGUUUGGGCCUGAAGUCACCUUUAGCAGUUGUUGAUGCUUGGAUUUGAGAUUGUUGAGUGUGCAUGCUGCUUGCUUUGGGUGGCUGAGUAUGAGAUUGUUUAGUACUGGAGGGUUGGGUUUGCUAACUUGCUG